CCAGCAGUCACUGUUGUUACCAGGUCAGGAGAUUUCCCAGGCUCAGGUGGCUAGACACUGAAAGAACGAAGGCCUGGACUCGGGCCUCCUCCCCUUCAAACCAGGGGUGUUUCGAUCACUCAUCAUACGAGGAUAGUUAGAAGGUGCCUAAGAAGUGGCAAAGAGAAUAAGAGAAUGAGAAGAUGGAGUACCCAGAAACCAUCACAGACAAGUCACCUGGAAGACAGGCAGGUUUCGCCUGCAUCUUCCCGGAUGACAGAGGGCAAGUUAAGCACACAGCAGUAACUCCUGAAGAGUCCCAGGCUCUCAUUUCAAGGUAAAUAUUAAUAAUCUCCAGACUCCUACUUCCCUUCCAGGGUUAGGCUCAGUCCCUCCCAGAAUCAUUUCUGGGGUUGCCUUGCUGGGCUGCAGUCAUGACGACUGAGGGAUCUAUUCCUAUCUCUGUCCUGAGGGUAUCCAGAGAUGAAAUCAGAGUCCCACCAGCCACUCCCUUAAUGGAACUUCAAC
rnacentral:lncRNA from 1 species